GAUGAACGCUGGCGGCGUGCUUAACACAUGCAAGUCGAACGGAAAGGCCCAAGCUUGCUUGGGUACUCGAGUGGCGAACGGGUGAGUAACACGUGGGUGAUCUGCCCCGCACUUCGGGAUAAGCCUGGGAAACUGGGUCUAAUACCGGCUAGGACAGUGGUUUGGAUGCUAUUGUGGAAAGUUUUUUCGGUGUGGGUUGAGCAAGCGGCCUAUCAGCCUGCUGUAGGGGUAAUGGCUUACCAAGGCGUCGACGGGUAGCCGGCGUGGGAGGGUGUACGGCCACAGUGAGACUGAGAUACAGCCCAGACUCCGACGGGAGGCGGCGGUAGGGAAUAUGGCACAAUGGGCACAGGCCUGAGGCAGAGACGGCGCGGGGGGGAGGACGGCCUUCGGGUUAUAGACGCCUAUCGCUAGUAACGAGGCGGUAUGUGACAGUACCUGGAGAAGAAGCACCGGCUAACUACGUG
rnacentral:rRNA from 1 species